rnacentral:tRNA from 1 species
GGGUGGGGCCUGUAGCUCAGAGGAUUAGAAGCACGUGGCUACGAACCACGGUGUCAGGGGUUCCGAAUCCCUCCUCGCCCA